AUCCUUUUGUAGUUCAUCAGCAUGAUGAUUGGGUGUCCAUGCGUUUGCGUGACAUGUCCCUCCCUCAAACUUUGUAAGGGCAUCAGCACAUUACCCGUCUGACU